UUUGAUGCUGUCUUGGAGGCCCUGAGCCGGGGUGAACCCGUGGACCUCUCCUGCCUGCCCCCUCCACCCGACCAGCUGCCCCCAGACCCACCGUCACCACCGUCGCAGCCUCCGACCCCCGCUAUGGCGCCCUCCACACCAGAGGUGCCCCCACCCCCGAGGACCCUGCUGGAGGCGCUGGAGCAGCGGAUGGAGCGGUACCAGGUGGCCGCAGCCCAGGCCAAGAGCAAGGGGGACCAGCGGAAAGCUCGAAUGCACGAGCGCAUCGUCAAGCAAUACCAAGAUGCCAUCCGAGCCCACAAGGCUGGCCGAGCGGUGGACGUCGCUGAAUUGCCCGUGCCCCCAGGCUUCCCACCAAUCCAGGGCCUGGAGGCCACCAAGCCCACCCAGCAGAGUCUGGUAGGCGUCCUGGAGACUGCCAUGAAGCUGGCCAACCAGGAAGAAGGCCCAGAGGAUGAAGAGGAUGAGGUGCCUAAGAAGCAGAACAGCCCUGUGGCCCCCACAGCCCAGCCCAAAGCCCCACCCUCAAGAGCUCCCCAGUCGGGAUCAGCCCCAGCAGCCAAAGCGCCCCCCAAAGCCACAUCCACCAGAGCCCAGCAGCAGCUGGCCUUCCUAGAGGGCCGCAAGAAGCAGCUCCUGCAGGCCGCACUGCGAGCCAAGCAGAAAAACGAUGUGGAGGGUGCCAAGAUGCACCUGCGCCAGGCCAAGGGACUGGAGCCUAUGCUGGAGGCCUCGCGCAAUGGGCUGCCUGUGGACAUCACCAAGGUGCCGCCCGCCCCUGUCAACAAGGACGACUUUGCCCUGGUCCAGCGGCCCGGCCCGGGUCUGUCUCAGGAGGCCGCCCGGCGCUAUGGUGAACUCACCAAGCUCAUACGGCAGCAGCAUGAGAUGUGCCUGAACCACUCAAACCAAUUCACUCAGCUGGGCAACAUCACUGAAACCACCAAGUUUGAAAAGUUGGCAGAGGACUGUAAGCGGAGCAUGGACAUUCUGAAGCAAGCCUUCGCCCGGGGUCUCCCCACGCCCACCGCCCGCUUUGAGCAAAGGACCUUCAGCGUCAUCAAGAUCUUCCCUGACCUCAGCAGCAACGACAUGCUCCUCUUCAUCGUGAAGGGCAUCAACUUGCCCACACCCCCAGGUGAGGGGGCUGUAGGCAGGGGUCAGGGUCAUGGGGACCCCCUCUCUGCCCAGCUCUGACCGUUGUUUGCCCACAGGACUGUCCCCUGGCGAUCUGGAUGUCUUUGUUCGGUUUGACUUCCCCUAUCCCAACGUGGAAGAAGCUCAGAAAGACAAGACCAGUGUGAUCAAGAACACAGACUCCCCUGAGUUCAAGGAGCAGUUCAAACUCUGCAUCAACCGCAGCCACCGUGGCUUCCGAAGGGCCAUCCAGACCAAGGGCAUCAAGUUCGAAGUGGUUCACAAGGGGUGAGCUAGAGAGAGCCAUGGCCACUGGGUGGGCUCCAGGGGAGGGGAGCUCCUCUGAACCAACCAUCCUGUCCCCACUACACACACAUGCACACAGGGGGCUGUUCAAGACUGACCGGGUGCUGGGGACAGCCCAGCUGAAGCUGGAUGCACUGGAGACAGCAUGUGAGGUCCGGGAGAUCCUUGAGGUGAGAGGUGGACAUUCAUCCGCAUGCUCCGGUAUGGCCAUGCUACUCGUUAACAUUAUUAAAACACUUCCUGCCUUGAGCCCUCUAUGAGCCUGUCUGUUGACCCAGCCCCUCCCCUCAGAGCCUCAGACCUCCCUACUGCCCAGCCCUAAAUACUUGCAGUACCCCACUCCAUUAUGAUCAACUGGUAUCUCAGCCAUACCAUGGGCUCAUAUUUUAGAAACCACUCUUGGCCAGGCAUGGUGGCUCAUGCCUGUAAUCCCAGCACUUUGGGAGGCUGAGGCGGGCAGAUCACGAGGUCAGGAGAUCGAGACCAUCCUGGCUAACAUGGUGAAACCCUGUUUCUACUAAAAUACAAAAAAAUUAGCCAGGCAUGGUGGUGGGUGCCUGUAGUCCCAGCUACUCGGGAAGCUGAGGCAGGAGAAUGGCAUAAGUAAACCCGGGAGGCGGAGCUUGCAGUGAGCCCAGAUCGCACCACUGCACUCCAGCCUGGACAACAGAGCGAGACUCUGUCUCAGAAAAAAAAAAAGAAACCAGUCUUGUUCUCCCUUGUCCUGGCCCUGGGCCUCUAGUCACUUCCUGCUUCCCACCAACAGUUUCUCCUUACCCCCACCCAGGUCCUGGAUGGUCGCCGGCCCACAGGGGGGCGACUGGAGGUAAUGGUCCGGAUUCGGGAGCCACUGACAGCCCAGCAGUUGGAGACGACGACGGAGAGGUGGCUGGUCAUUGACCCUGUGCCGGCAGCUGUGCCCACACAGGUUGCUGGGCCCAAAGGGAAGGCCCCUCCUGUGCCUGCCCCUGCAAGGGAGUCAGGGAACAGAUCAGCCCGGCCCCUGCAUAGCCUCAGUGUGCUGGCGUUUGACCAAGAGCGUCUGGAGCGGAAGAUCC
rnacentral:sRNA from 1 species